GACGAACGCUGGCGGCGUGCUUAACACAUGCAAGUCGAACGGAAAGGCCCUGCUUUCAGGGUACUCGAGUGGCUAACGGGUGAGUAACACGUGGGUGAUCUGCCCUGCACUUCGGGAUAAGCCUGGGAUACUGGGUCUAAUACCGGCUAGGAGCCAUUGUUUGUCUGAUGGUUGGAAAGUUUUUUCGGUGUUGGCUGAGCUCGCGGCCUAUCAGCUUGUUGGUGGGGUAAUGGCCUACCAAGUCGGCGACGGGUGGCCGGCCUGAGAGGGUGGACGGCCACAAUGGGACUGAGAGACGGCCCAGAAGCCUACGGGAGGCAGCAGUGGGGAACAUUGCCCAAUGGGCGCACGCCUGAUGCAGCGACGCCGCGUGGGGGAUGACGGCCUUCGGGUUGUAAACUCCUUUCGCUAGGGACGAAGCUUUUUGUGACGGUACCUAGAUAAGAAGCAACGGCUAACUACGUG
rnacentral:rRNA from 1 species